rnacentral:rRNA from 1 species
CUACGGGCCGCUGCAGUCGAGAAUCAUUCGCAAUGGGCGAAAGCCUGACGAUGCGACGCCGUGUGAACGAAGAAGGCCUUCGGGUUGUAAAGUUCUUUCGCCUGGGAACAAGAGAAUUGGGUGAAUAAUCUAGUGAUUUGAGGGUACCAGGUAAAGAAGCACCGGCUAACUCCGUGCCAGCAGCUGCGGUAAUACGGAGGGUGCAAGCAUUAAUCGGAUUUACUGGGCGUAAAGGGCGCGUAGGCGGCUUUGCAAGUCAGAUGUGAAAUUCCAGAGCUCAAAUUUGGAGCUGCAUUUGAAACGGUGAGGCUAGAGGAUAAGCGGAGGAAAUGGAAUUCCACGUGUAGCGGUGAAAUGCGUAGAUAUGUGGAAGAACACCGGUGGCGAAGGCGGUUUUCUAGUUUAUACCUGACGCUGAGGCGCGAAAGCAAGGGGAGCAAACAGGAUUAGAUACCCCGGUAGUC